GGACAUCAUAUGGGUGAGGCAUUGUGGGGGUCGGGCGGCAAGUUUUUCUUUUGCCUAGGGCGGCAAAAAUACUUGCCCUGGUGGGAAUAUAUCUCUGUGAUCUAUAUACACCAUGAAAUUCCUUUCCGCAGAAUCAGAGUUACAGAAGAAGAAGUUUGAAUUCUGAACCUCAGGAGAGGAACCAAUAAUUUAAAUUCAAAACCGGUUUAAAG